rnacentral:lncRNA from 1 species
CGAUAUUUACAAAAGAGCAUAAAUAGAGUUCGCAUUGUCCGAGUAUGCCUGAUUCCCUGGCAAUUCCAAACUAGGGAUGCCUUGGCUCAAGAAAUAUCAAACUAAUUCAAAUAGAAGUCCCAAAUUUUCAAAUUAAACAUAGCAGCUUGUAAUAUUGCACAUGAAAAGAAACUGAAAAAAGACAUGGAAACGCGAAAUAAUAUCAUUGUGACAUUACAACGAACAGGUGGUAGACACUGAGAAUGAUAGCUUACUAACUCUCCAAAACAAAAAUGAAGCUUUAGAUCCACCUGAUAUGACUUAAACUUCUUUAAUUCUUUUCCUUCACCUCAUCAUAUUCACUUUCCUCCGAUGGGUCCACUUUCCUGCUACUGUCUUCACUUUCCUCCAGUUGUAUCAAUUCUUAUUUGAUAAACGUUACUGACGGUUAAAUAUAAUUUGUUAGGAACCAAAAUCACACAUUCUAUGGCUUCCGCUAAUGUAAUCUAUCAAUCAUCAUGUAUUUUUUUAAAAAAAGAAAGAGAACCGAC